UACGUAGGGUGCAAGCGUUGUCCGGAAUUAUUGGGCGUAAAGAGCUCGUAGGCGGGUUUGCGCGUCGAAUGUGAAAACCCGGGGCUCAACCCCGGGCCUGCAUUCGAUACGGGCAGACUAGAGUUCGGUAGGGGAGUCUGGAAUUCCUGGUGUAGCGGUGAAAUGCGCAGAUAUCAGGAGGAACACCGGUGGCGAAGGCGGGACUCUGGGCCGAUACUGACGCUGAGGAGCGAAAGCGUGGGGAGCAAACAGG
rnacentral:rRNA from 1 species